rnacentral:rRNA from 1 species
AUAGCUUGACACUGAACAUUGAGCCUUGAUGUGUAGGAUAGGUGGGAGGCUUUGAAGCGUGGACGCCAGUCUGCGUGGAGCCGACCUUGAAAUACCACCCUUUAAUGUUUGAUGUUCUAACGUGGACCCGUAAUCCGGGUUGCGGACAGUGUCUGGUGGGUAGUUUGACUGGGGCGGUCUCCUCCUAAAGAGUAACGGAGGAGCACGAAGGUUGGCUAAUCCUGGUCGGACAUCAGGAGGUUAGUGCAAUGGCAUAAGCCAGCUUGACUGCGAGCGUGACGGCGCGAGCAGGUGCGAAAGCAGGUCAUAGUGAUCCGGUGGUUCUGAAUGGAAGGGCCAUCGCUCAACGGAUAAAAGGUACUCCGGGGAUAACAGGCUGAUACCGCCCAAGAGUUCAUAUCGACGGCGGUGUUUGGCACCUCGAUGUCGGCUCAUCACAUCCUGGGGCUGAAGUAGGUCCCAAGGGUAUGGCUGUUCGCCAUUUAAAGUGGUACGCGAGCUGGGUUUAGAACGUCGUGAGACAGUUCGGUCCCUAUCUGCCGUGGGCGCUGGAGAACUGAGGGGGGCUGCUCCUAGUACGAGAGGACCGGAGUGGACGCAUCACUGGUGUUCGGGUUGUCAUGCCAAUGGCACUGCCCGGUAGCUAAAUGCGGAAGAGAUAAGUGCUGAAAGCAUCUAAGCACGAAACUUGCCCCGAGAUGAGUUCUCCCUGAGACUUAGAGUCUCCUGAAGGAACGUUGAAGACGACGACGUUGAUAGGCCGGGUGUGUAAGCGCAGCGAUGCGUUGAGCUAACCGGUACUAAUGAACCGUGAGGCUUAACCUUACAACGCCGAAG